rnacentral:rRNA from 1 species
CCUACGGGAGGCAGCAGUGAGGAAUAUUGGUCAAUGGACGAGAGUCUGAACCAGCCAAGUAGCGUGAAGGAUGACUGCCCUAUGGGUUGUAAACUUCUUUUAUAUGGGAAUAAAAUGUUCCACGUGUGGGAUUUUGUAUGUACCAUAUGAAUAAGGAUCGGCUAACUACGUGCAAGCAGCCGCGGUAAUACGGAGGAUUCGAGCGUUAUCCGGAUUUAUUGGGUUUAAAGGGGGCGUAGGUGGAUUGUAAAGUCAGUUGUGAAAGUUUGCGGCUUAACCGUAAAAUUGCAGUUGAAACUGGCAGUCUUGAGUACAGUAGAGGUGGGCGGAAUUCGUGGUGUAGCGGUGAAAUGCUUAGAUAUCACGAAGAACUCUGAUUGCGAAGGCAGCCCACUGGACUGCAACUGACACUGAGGCUCGAAAGUGUGGGUAUCAAACAGGAUUAGAUACCCGAGUAGUC